CCCUUAGAUGUCCGGGGCCGCACGCGCGCUACACUGAAGGAAUCAGCGUGGCUUUCUCCCUGACCCGAAAGGGUUGGGAAACCCGUUGAAUCUCCUUCGUGAUAGGGAUUGGGGCUUGAAAUUGUUCCCCAUGAACGAGGAAUUCCCAGUAAGCGCGAGUCAUAAGCUCGCGUUGAUUACGUCCCCGCCCUUUGUACACACCGCCCGUCGCUACUACCGAUUGAGCGGUUUAGUGAGGGCCUCGGAUUGGUCUCGGCCCGCUCUUUACCGGGCGGCGCCGUUGGUCGAGAAGACGCUCGAACUUGAUCGUUUAGAGGAAGUAAAAGUCGUAACA
rnacentral:rRNA from 1 species